rnacentral:rRNA from 1 species
AUUGAACGCUGGCGGCAGGCCUAACACAUGCAAGUCGAGCGGAUGAAGGGAGCUUGCUCCUGGAUUCAGCGGCGGACGGGUGAGUAAUGCCUAGGAAUCUGCCUGGUAGUGGGGGAUAACGUCCGGAAACGGGCGCUAAUACCGCAUACGUCCUGAGGGAGAAAGUGGGGGAUCUUCGGACCUCACGCUAUCAGAUGAGCCUAGGUCGGAUUAGCUAGUUGGUGGGGUAAAGGCCUACCAAGGCGACGAUCCGUAACUGGUCUGAGAGGAUGAUCAGUCACACUGGAACUGAGACACGGUCCAGACUCCUACGGGAGGCAGCAGUGGGGAAUAUUGGACAAAGGGCGAAAGCCUGAUCCAGCCAUGCCGCGUGUGUGAAGAAGGUCUUCGGAUUGUAAAGCACUUUAAGUUGGGAGGAAGGGCAGUAAGUUAAUACCUUGCUGUUUUGACGGUACCAACAGAAUAAGCACCGGCUAACUACGUG